rnacentral:rRNA from 1 species
CCUUUGGAGGGUUUGAUCCUGGCUCAGAGUGAACGCUGGCGGCGUGGAUUAGGCAUGCAAGUCGAGCGAUUCUAUUAAGCUAUUCGUUUUGGGGUAACUCAAGACAGAUAGUGUAGUAGAAUAGCGGCAAACGGGUGCGUAACGCGUUGGUAACCUACCUUAAGGAGGAGGAUAGCCUUGCGAAAGCGAGGGUAAUACUCCAUAAUACCAUAAGACAAAAGUUUUAUGGUUAAAGGAUGGCCUCUAUUUUUACUAUGCUGUCGCCUUAAGAUGGGCCUGCGUCCUAUCAGGUAGUUGGUGGGGUAAUGGCUCACCAAGCCUAAGACGGGUAGCUGGCAUUAGCGUGUGGUCAGCCACACCGGGACUGAGACACUGCCCGGACUCCUACGGGAGGCUGCAGUCGAGGAUCUUUCCCAAUGGGCGAAAGCCUGAGGAUGCGACGCCGCGUGGGGGAUGAAGGCCUUCGGGUUGUAAACCCUUUUUAUUAAGGAGGAAAGUCAAAAGAUGAAUAAUCUUUUGGCCUGACUGUACUUAAUGAAUAAGCCACGGCUAACUCCGUGCCAGCAGCCGCGGUAAUACGGAGGUGGCAAGCGUUACUCGGUUUGAUUGGGUGUAAAGGGUCCGUAGGCGGCCAAAUAAGUAAAAGGUGAAAUUUUUCCGCUUAACGGAAAAAUUGCUUUUUAAACUAUUUGGCUUGAGGGUGGAAGAGGAGAGCGGAACUGACAGUGUAAGGGUGAAAUCUGUGGAUAUUGUCAGGAACGCCCGUGGCGCAAGCGGCUCUCUGGGACAAUCCUGACGCUGAGGGACGAAAGCUAGGGGAGCAAACAGGAUUAGAUACCCUGGUAGUCCUAGCUGUAAACGAUGGGCACUGGAUGUUUCUGCCUUUUGGUGGAAGCGUCGAAGCUAACGCGUUAAGCGCCCCGCCUGGGGACUACGGCCGCAAGGCUAAAACUCAAAGGAAUUGACGGGGGCCCGCACAAGCGGUGGAACACGUGGUUUAAUUCGAUGCUACGCGAGGAACCUUACCAGGGCUUGACAUGUUGGUAGUAAUUACCCGAAAGGGUGGAUGACCUGUAACCAGUCAGGAGCCAACACAGGUGCUGCAUGGCUGUCGUCAGCUCGUGCCGUGAGGUGUUCCCUUAAGUGGGGAAACGAGCGCAACCCUCACUCUUAGUUGCCAGCACUUCGGCGUUUCGUCGAAGGUUGGG